rnacentral:rRNA from 1 species
UACGUAGGCAGCAAGCGUUGUUCGGAAUUACUGGGCGUAAAGAGUGUGUAGGCGGUGCUCUAAGUCUGUUGUGAAAUCUCCCGGCUUAACUGGGAGGGUGCGGCGGAGACUGGAGUGCUAGAGUGUGGGAGAGGUAAGCGGAAUUCCUGGUGUAGCGGUGAAAUGCGUAGAUAUCAGGAAGAACACCAAUGGCGAAAGCAGCUUUCUGGGACGGUACUGACGCUGAGACGCGAAAGCGUGGGGAGCGAACAGG